CUAGAUCUUGGCAACCGGUGAAGUUUUCAGGGAACUUGCAAGUGCCAAAUUCCACAGUGUAUGCUCUUGCAAAGUUGGCUCCAGUGGUGGCUAAUCUUUUCUUGUCAUUAAGUUCCUGUAGCAAUUAUCCAUUAGAAACUAGUUGAAUUAUGAAAAAGAGAAAUAAAGGGUAACCGUGAUCGUAUUGCAAAAACAAGGUUUUGAAAAGACCUUGUUGGUCUUGCUCUUUUCAAGGUAUUCUUCAAUGAUUCCUGCAUUGGCUGAAGAGUUGGAAGCAGAAGCUGCAGCAGUGAAAAGGGUAGCUGCUAAGUAGACAAGGGCACUUCUUCUUCCUUGGUUUGAUUCAGAUUCCGUAAUCUUUGCUUGAUGAGCCUUGAUCACAGGCAACUUGAGAGCAGAAACUUGUGGAGAUGCAACAGAAGAAGGCAUGGAGGUGAGCUUGGCAUUGAGGUCGGAGCAUCCUGAUCUUGCAUAGUUACAGGCCAAGACACUGGAGUUCAUGGCAGACAUGGUGGAUAUAUGCAAUUACUUUUCUGGUUUUGAUCAAACUUCAAAAGAAAACUAUGUCUUCUUAAUCCUAGUGGCUCUAUUUUUUUUGUUUUUUUAUUUUACUUUUCUUGUGUUGUUUGAGGCUCAGGAUUUGUGAUAAGGAGUGGAUACGAUAAGUGUAACGUAAUUUAAGGUUGUGGUUGGAGUGUGGAUAAGGUUCGAUUGCCUCACUCCUUAUUGGCAUAUCUUGCUUUUGUGACACUUCAGCUUCUCCUGGUUGGUAUCCCUGGCCCCACUACACAAGCCCAAAGCAAUUUAAGAUGUGGACAAACAAAAACUUCUCCGGCCCAUUUGUGCCUGCAAGAACCUCCAUUAUCAUUUAUGGGGUGAAAAAAGUAAUCCGGGUCACUUGGGACGAGUCAAUUUUUUAUUAGCUAAGGUAUAGAUAGGUUAAAGAAAAAGGGUUGAUUUGCAAAUAGAGAGAAUAAAUAAAUAAGUUUUAGUGUAUGUAUAGUUGUUGGUGGUGAGGCAUUUACACGCACUUUCCUGAAUGCAGUCCAAGACUUCUGAUUUCUGCAUAUCGUAUCAUGCCACAUUCUCAUAUUUCAACCAGCCUUUCAUCGUUAACAUUAUUUAAUUAAUUUAUAAAAACAAUAAAAAUCAAAAUCACAGUAAAAUUAAUUUAUAUUUUUCGGUUAAAUAUAAAACUAUCUAUUGAAAUUAUAUUUUAUGGUAUAUUUAGAGAUCAACAAAACUUGUAAUACAAAAUGUAAUAAAAAAAAAUAUACACUUCAAAAUCACUAAAUAAUAUUGAAUUUUAGAGAAAAAAAUUAAUCACUAUAUUAAUUAAUUUAGCUAUUACUUUAUAAAUUAAAAAUUAUUGAUAUCCAAAAUAAUUUUUUUAUGAAUAAAAAAUUAUAAUUGAAUUGAAUCUAAAUUAAUUUUUAACUAUCAAGAUUUAGUUAUUAAUGAAUUAAUAUCUAAUUUAGAAAUUAAUAAUAGUAAGUAACUAAAUUUAACUUAAUAGUUAAUAUUAGAGAUUAAUUUUACUCAAAUUUAUAAAUAAGUUAUAUUUUUUAUUUAUCAUAACAAUUAUUUUAUAUACUAAUAAAUUUUAGUUAAUAAAUAGUGAUGAAUUAUUUUGAUCUCUAAAAUUAUUAAUUAUUACUAUUACAUCACUUAUAUUUGUUUACAUAAAUCUUUGUUUACUGGUUAUCUCUUUCGAAAAUUAAAGAGAGUUAGUAUAAAACUUGAAUGAAUUUUAAAAAGGGUUUGAAUUAACAACUUUACAUCAGAGUAAUCCGAAUCAGGAAUAGAUAACAUAUUUUCAGCCCUAAUAAUUACUAUUACUCCAAUAAAACAAAACAAUGUUAAAAGGAAACAUAAUCCUAAACUAUAUCUAUUUUAAAAACUUCUCUGAACCCAUUUUUCAAAAAGCAAAAAGUUAAAGUAUAUUCACUAAUUUAAAUUAAACCGAUUGCGAUCUUAACCAAUCAAUUUGAUCUGGCCGUGAUUACUUUAGACAAUUAAUCUCACUCAUAGAACAAGUGGGAUAUAUACAUGCACAGAAACAUACCUUAAGAAAAUAAAUCUUAUUUAAUGUGUGAAUUAUUGUCAUAUUUAACUUGAACUUGCUUUUUCUUUAUUUCUCUCUCUCUCUCUCUCUUCUAUUUUAUAUGUAUGAAUUUAUAUUUGGCUUUCCCGGUUUUCUGGUUUUCUUACCCUCUGAUUUGGUCUUACAUAGUUCAUAACAAGAACAUUCAAUAUAUAAAAAUUACCCUAUCAAUUUGCUACAACGCUAUAAAAUGUUAUGAUCAAAGCAUAUACAGCAAAUCAAAAUUCAGCCACUUAGAUGGUAUAUAUGUAUGUAUGAGUUUUAUGAUACACCAUUUCCCUUUUAGUGCAUUUAUUUGAUUGGAACUUGAUUAGUGGUUUCUGCAUCAGCUUCCAUUUAUUUAUUAUAUCAUGCUCUAUGAACUGGAUAAAGUAUACAGCUUUCUGUUUUUCUUUACUUAGUUGUUAACAGCAACGAUCAGGGACGUUUUCUUAUUCACUUGUAGCAUUUUGCAAUCAAAUCUGAACCCAAAGUUUGUUGGCUUAGACAGAUUAAAGUGAUGUUUAAUCACGGUUUUAUAUGAAUUUCAAAUUAAACCCUUUCAUUAAAUAAUGGGACUAGAAAUAUUUGGUAGAGGUUGCUUUAUCUGUUGCGCUCUUGUUAUCAAGCAAAGUGAUAUUAAUUUACGCACUAAAAUAUUGAUAUCAAAUGCUCUUUUCCACUUAAAAGAAUAAAAUAGAGAAAGUGAAGGUAAUAAAAUGGGUAUUUUUUAAUUGUAUAAAAUGAAAUGGUGGAAUGCAUCUGCAAAAUAUUGUCGAUCUUAGGUUCAUUGGAUUAAGCAAUUCUUGGUGAACUUCAGACUGAGAAAGAGUGUUCCAUUUGUUUCAUUCAAAAUGGUCACCUAAGUUUUAGUUUAUUAAACAUAUUAGUUAAGUGGAAAUAAUAAUGAUGAAAAAAGUUGGUGACCAUAAAGAGUAAACACUCGUGUUUUCUCUUAUCUUGGUCUACAGUAAUUCACUUUUAUCUUCAUCCUCAGAUAGAAGAUACCUUUGAAUUAAAUUGCAUAAAAACACUAGAAAUAAGAACUUCAUAAUAUCAUUGAAAAGAAUGCAGUAACAAAAAAUUAACUAGUAUAUCUUACAUUUGAUGAGGUCAAAACAAAGCAACAGAAAUUUCAAAACAUUAUAUCCGAGGAUUGGUUGUAAUACUAGAGUAAUUUAGCUAGCAUAGUUCCCUAUAGUUACGCUCCAAAGCUUCAUGUUCUAGUGGUUGGAUCCUUACAAUGGUUUGUGGGACUGGUGGCUGGGAUCCAACAAUUUUCUUACAAGUCUCAAUGAGGCACUGUCUGCACUUGGGGCAUGAUGAGUGAGAGCUAAGCCAUCUGUCAAUGCAGCGAACGUGGAAACCAUGGUUGCAUUUUGGCAGAAUGCGUAGCUUAUCAGCAUUGACAAACUCUGAGAGGCAUAUGACACACUCGGUGUCCAAAGCUGGGAGUUUGAACUGUGUUGAGUAGCUGACGGUGGGAAAAGUCUUGAGGGCUUUCUUCUUGAUGCCUGUGUUGGCCAAACGGGAUGAAGGGUUGGUGACAGUUGAAGGGUCGUUGAUGACUAUGUUUGAGCAUCUCAAGACACACUUUAUGAUGGAGUUCAAGCCGAGUGAGCAAAUGACAGCACACAAGAGCACAGCGAGUAUCAUGACAACAUUUGCAUCGAAGUCACGACCUUUGAAAUAGGAGUCUGUUGAGUUGUAAGUGAUGGAAUCUGAGGAUUUGGGCAAGUCAGCUACGUUGAUUGAUUGAUGGAGAGGGUCUUGAAGGAGUAGCUUUCUUGAGCUUGAGUCCAUGAGAAGGUCAUGAAGCAAAUGUGAAGUAAAGGAAGUUGAAGCAUACAUUUUUGAUGGUAUCUAUUCAAGAAGAGUUAGUUGUUGGAGCUUGAGGUUGGUUAUAGAUCUUAGGCAAUUAUAGCUAUAUAUAUAUAGAGAGAGAGAUAGGGGAAGUUGGCACAGUAGGGUAUAACAUAUGAUUAUGAUAUCUAAGUAUGAUUAGAAAAUGAAAGUAUUAUUGUUGUUUGAUGAGUGGUGGAUGGGUUUAGAAUAUUCCUAAGGGUUUUUGGCAAGGAGUGAAAAUUAAACUUUUUAUCUUGGUUGUUAGAGAUGAUAGAUUAGAAGCAUAUGAUGAUAUGGAACAUCCACUGAUGCUUUUGUAUAUUCGGCUAUAUGGGUCCAUUUUAUUUCCACUUUAGACGAAGUAGGAUAUGCCAGGUGGAACAGUGAGUCCAUGAAUGAGUUGUCAAGCUCGGUGAAGAUGAAUUGAAACAUGGUAUCAUUCCAUAUUUGAUUCAAUGUCCCAUAUUUUAGGUUCCUAAAAAAAGAUAAUGAUAUUUCACAUUCAAAAUGUGAUAAAUUUUUGACACCGCCAUGUGUCAUAUUUUGGGUGGUUCGCAUGUUUUAAAAAAUAAAAUGACAGAAUAUGGAUUGAAUGUGUAGUGAUAGACAUGAUAUCAAUGUACAAAUAAGUGGGUAGUUUAUGCUAACUUUUAACACGAGAGGACAUUUUUGAAUCUGCGCUAUUUUUACAUCGAUACCUUCUUAUGCUAAAAAUUAGCCUAACCUACCCACUUAUUUGUACAUUGAUACCAGGUCUGUCACUACACAUUGAAUCCAUGUUUUAUCAUUUUAUUUUUUAAAACAUGUGGAUCACCCAGAACGUGAUACGUGAUGAUGUCAAAAAUUUGUCACAUUCUAAAUGUCAAAGUAUCAUUAUCCAUGAGAAAAAUAGUAGCUCGUAUACAAAAGUUUGGAUCCAUUUCCUUCUGAACCAAAUCUUAUUACCAUAUCUUAUUUAAAAAUGACAGGUAAAGGUUAAAAGAUUUCUACUAUUCUAUUAUAAACUUUAAUUAAUUUUUAAAAUAUAAAAUUCAAAUUAAUUUUUAGCAGUGAUACUAUUUAUGUAUAUAUAAAAAAUUAUAUAUUUUAUUAAAUAAUUAUAUAUAUAUAUAUAUAUAUAUAUAUAUAUAUUAACUGACAAAAUAUUUAAUAAACUGAUCUUAUUAUGUUUAACAUAAAUGCUCCAUGUGUAGCUGACAACUAAUUUAAUUUAAUGCUGUCAUUGUGGAUGUGGCAGAUGUUGGAGAAACCUCGUGUUUGGCUGGCCCUUUUAACUUACACCAUAACCCAAAAAGUGCAAUAUCUGAAAGAGAUUCAUUUUAGAUAUGAUUAUAUGAUACACAACAUUUAUAUACACUCUUCCACUCUGUAGGGCAAAUAUUAAUGUCGGAUUUCUGUCUACAUUAUACUCAAUUAUCGACACAUGGAAAGAUACAAAGAAACCAAAUUUGAUUUGAAACAUGAAAAAUAGUUUUGUCACCCCAACUUUCCAAUUAAGAAAGUUGAUAUAUUUUUUCAAAUUUUACCAAUAUAGAACUUGUAUAGUUUCUAAAAAAGCUGCACAUUUUUUUUUCAAACUUUUCAAAUAUGCAUAGUUGUCUAAAUAUUUUAUUUUUUACUAACUAACUAAUCACUUCGACGAUAUUUUUCUUUUCAGACUUUAAAACUUUCAAAGAGAUUAAAAAUAUAUAUUUUAUCUUUUAUCUAAUUUUCCUUCUGUUUUCCGUAUAUAUUUUUAAUAAAACAACCUUUAUUCUUUUGCUUUAUUUCUUAUUUAUUCUUUCUUUAUUUUCUACUUAUUUCUUCUCUCUAUUUUCGUCUCCUCUUUUUAAAAUAUCUCUAAGUUUCAUGAUAUGGUUAAUAUAUGCAGUUUUGUCAUACUAUCAACUAAUUAAAACUCAUUCUUAAUAUGCCUUUUAAAGAGCUCUUUUUAUAACGUAGUCCAUAAAUUUACCAUAUAUAACAUUUAUAAUUUGAUAAAAAAGAGAAAAAACAUAUUUACAUUAUAUUAUGAUCACUUCCAAUUUAUAGUAUUUGAAAAUUGUGCAAAACACAGGAUGUGCAAGAAAAAGAUGAGUAAAAUACAAAAAAUAAAGGUUUAGUAUGUUCUACUAAAAAAGUGUACGAAGAUAAAUGGAAUGAUAAUUAAGGGAAAAUAUACGAGAAAUAAUACACUAAGUUCAUUGUUGGGAAUGCAAGUGCGAGUCCAAGUCCCACAUUGGAUAAAAAUGAAAAACUAGAGCACUAUAUAAAGAUUAAAGACCCAUUAACCCAUUGCCUUAAGGUUUUGGAUAGAUAGUAGUGUCAAUUCCUUAUAUAGUCGGGCUCAUAUCUCAUUGGUGUUUGUAUCUCUUCGGUGAACCUCCUCCUUGAUAGACCCAACACAAUAUUGCUUAAAUUAUUUUAACCCUCUUCUAUAAUACAUUUUUUUUUAUAUUUUCUUUUCAUAUUAGUUAUUUCGCAAUCAAUAAACCAUAAAUAAUAUAAUUGCAGAAGAAUUUAAAACUUAUCUCAAGGAGAUAUUUAUAAAAAUAGAGAAUAACAUAAGGAAAUACAUUGAAACGUGUAACAUGUAGAGCUAUUUCAAGAAAUGAUGAAUUAUAUCUCACUUGCUAAAGUUUAUACUGAUGGCAAUAUUUUCCUGUAAAAAGAAAAUGACACGACACACUUGUAAAGCAUUUUGAUAUAAAAGUCUUAAAGUAAAUAAAAUAAAAUGAAAAGAAAUUGUAAUGAAAUUAUUAUAUAACCUCUUUCCUUCAAAAGCAAAUCUAUUUGGUACAGAACGAAAGGAGUUCUGAAAGUUGCUGUAAUAUUGUUUUCUCACACCUCUUUACCCGACAGACAGCGAUAGUGGCAUUUACAUUUUAUCAAAGAAUAGUGCUACUUUACCCCCACAUUUUCAAUCAUAACAAUAGCUUGUUACUUGCGUGUGUUUGUGUUUCAAUAACAACGUUGUUAUUACAUGCAUGGCUUUGUCCUGAGAUAAAUAAUUUCGGGUUUUACUAUGAUAAAAGUUUCCAUUUCGAAUCAAUAACAGUUAAAAUUUUGAGCCUGCAACUUGCAGAAACUUUAUACUAUAUAUAACUUCUUCUGUAUAUGUACUAUGCCACAACGUAUAUUCUGAUACAGCUCAUGCAUGUAUUUGUGAUGCGUCAUUCUUGUACAUAAUUAUACGAUGUUUGGGAUAUGUUAAUAGUUAUUUGGCUGUCGUAUAUGAUACCUAUGUUUGGAUAGAAAAAUGGUCCCAAAUAUUGUUUUAGAAUCUUGAGAGAUGCAAGUAGAUAUAGAUAUCACAAUCUGGUGGAUUUAACAAGAUGUGGCUCCUAAUUAAAGAAGGUGGUUAAUGAUAACAAGUGAUCAAAUUGGCAGCAUGUUUAAGAUAAAUUUGAUCUCCAAUCUGAUUUUAUUUGUCGACAAGCUGUACUUUUUACGAGGAAAGUGGUUGAUUAUAAGAGGUGGGGGUAUUAUUAUAAAUUUAAUGAGGUAACGUACGAGGAAAAAAGUGGUUUAUUUUUGACUGUUUUUUUAUUAACUUAGCCGUGUACUGUUUGUAGUGAUUAAGAAAUUAGAGUCGUGUAGAGUAAAUAAGCAGCGAAGAGAGAUGACUGGGCUUGGGCAUUUUUAAAGAAAAUGCUUUUGCUUUUGCUCUGGCAGUACUACAAGUACCACUACUUUGAUCCGUAUCUUGGUGGGUUGGAUCUCACUACUCCUUUAUUGUGUUUCUUUGGUCCCACAUCGAGAGAGACAAGGGAAUUACCGACAGAGGAAAUGCUCUUCUGAAGAAUAUACAUGGAGCACAUCGUAAUAUAUGUAUAACCACUAUGCAUAACAUACUAUUUAACAGGAUAUUAGAUUAUGUUGUGAUCAUUUUGCUGUCCAAUAAUAAUGGCCAAAAAUUUUAUGAACAUGCACUGUCGCACAUGCUAUGUCUUCAUCAAGGAUUACACAUAUAUUUGUGCUGGGGUUGCACCCACCCUAUCUGUUUAUUAAUAUUCAUCAAUAUUAAUAAUAGUGUUUUUUUAAUAUGUUCUAAAUUUCUGAAUUCACUUUAAUACAAAAUUAUUUUUUUUUUAAAUUAAACUAUAUUUUGAUCACUAAACUUAAAAUUAAUUAUAUUAAAAAAAUGUAUAUUUUAUUUUCCGGUUGACAUGAAAACAUGUUAAAUAGUAUAAAUAACUUAAUUAUCAGUAUGGAAAAUAUUUAUAUCGGUUAGUCACAAUAACCGGUAUAAAAUGUUUGAUAUUCUUCUUUUAUCUUUCUUUUCACUUUUCAUUUUCUCUCUUAUGCACACUUUUCGUUUUUUUCGUUCUAGUUUCACUUCACUUGCUUUUGUAUCUUACUUAUCGCGUUCACUCUUUCCUUCGUUCUUUGCUUUUGUUCUAUCAUUGUUGGUUGUCAUUGGUGAUUGAAGCUCUCGUAGUGAUAGGUAGGUAAAUUUGUUAUUCGUUGUCGUUAAUUAGUUAUCAUUGGUGGUUUAAGUUCUUGUUGUGGUGGAUAGGUUAAGUUGUCAUGGUUGUUCUUGUCAUAGUUGAAGCUCUCUUCUAUGGUGGGCGAAGCUCUUAUCGUGGUUGUUCCUCUAAUGCGUCGCUAGUGUGGUGGGUUUAUAAGUUGCAGUUCGUGGUGUGCAUUUGGUCGUUCCCCAGUGCGUGGUGUGCAUUUGACCAUUUUCCAGUGUGUUGUGUAUGUUUGGUCAUUGUCGCGUGACGGGUUGCAUGUUGCAUUCUAUGCAAUGUUAGCAUUUCAACCUAAUGUAUAUGUUUUUGUGAUGUUGAUGAAUUAUGAAUGUACAUUUGAAUAUGAAAUGUAUGUUUUUGUGUUGCAUUUUUGGAUGGAGAAGUUUCAAGCUUCAUCGUGGACAUUGAAAAUUACAGAGUUUUAGAAAACAAUUUAGAAAUAGACUAUUAAUGUGUUAGUUUAAGGGUUUGUUUAACCAGCAAUGAUCAUUCCUUUAAGGUAUUGUAUAUUAUUCUAACAUGAUUCAUUUUAUGAAGUUUAAAUAUAUUAAUUACGUUAUUCUGACAUUAUUCAUUUUCAAUGUUUAAGGUAUUUACAUCGGUUGAGAAUUAAGAGGAUGAAUGAUCACAUUUAUGGAUUCAUUGACCCUUUUUUCCAUUCAAGGAGUUGAGAAUAAAGAUGAAUAGGUGCAAAAAUACCUCUUAGAUGCCUUUGAAAAUGAAAAAAAAAAGUGUCCUUAGCACCUUAUUUGAAAUAGUAGGUAUACGUUUUUUAUUAAUAAAAUUCUAUUUAUGUAAAUCUUAUUUCAAAUUAUUAUUGUUUGAAUCAGCAAGAAUCAUUGAUAAUUGUUAGUAAAUUUUUCUCAAUAGUCUCUUGUGAUUCUCUUGUGUUCAUUACACAAGAAACCUCACAUUUUAGCAAUUAAAAGUAUAAUAAUAACGUAAUUUUUUAAUAAUUUAUUUUUUAUGCACACAUAAUUUAAUUUUACUAAGUUCCAUAUUAGACACUCAUUUCAAUGUACAAUUAACUUUUACAUAGUGGAUGAUGCUUAUUUGAGGAGGUAGGAAAUCCAUAUCACCUCUAAGAAGAAGUUGAAGUUCAUUGCACCAACUACAAGUAGUUAAUCUUUCAAACUAUUAAAAUACAAUUAUAUAGUUUAUAAAACUUUAUGAAUUUAACUUGUAGCGCUAGCGUCAACCAGGGAGCUUUGAGUGCAUAUAUAAUGUCAUGAGGCACAUUUAAAAAAUCAUAUCCUCAAACAUUGUUGACUCGUGAAAUUUAGUAACGUGAAUAUUUUAUAAUUAACAUCUUAAGUCAUUAUUAUUAUAACUUGGCUCAAACUAUUCUUUAGUAGAUAUUCGGUAAUGCAUCUUUGGUGGAGCAAGAGGUCUCGAAGGAUGUUCUAGAGUAACUGGUUGCAUUUUUUUUAAGUGUUUAUAGAUUAUGUUAAGUAAAUAUUAUAUAUAUUCAUUAUACAUUGAGGUUAUGGAAUAUUAUUUGAUGUGUAAUAUUACGAAAUAUCUUGAUUAUUUUGUUCCUUGAAUACAUGUGGAUUAUAUUAUGAGACUGUUCUAGGACUGAAUUUUAUGCAUGUUUUUCUAUGGAUAGUAGCACAUACUGAUUUGGUAUUGGAAAAAAAAAUGCCACUUUUUAUACAGAACUAAUAUAGAAAGUGACUUUUUAUAUAGGUUGUAACACUAACCAGUAUAAAAAAUUACAUUUUUUACACUAGUUAAAGUUAUACUCAAUAUAAAAAUUGGACUUUUUAUACCAAUUAGAGCGUUUAUAAAAAAUAUGGACCAUACAUCGAUUUUUUCUUCUUUUCCUAACAAACUUUCUAAAUCGAUUUGAGAACCAAUAUAACUAGUAUAAAAAAUAAAUUUAUAUAUUAAUUAUGAAACUAGUAUACAAAAUCGAAUACUUUUUAUAUCACUAUUUUUAUACUGGUUAAAAAUCUAUAUAAAUUUUUCUUUUAACUAAUAUAAAAAAGUUUUUCUGACAUAAACAUAUAUAUAUAUAUAUAUAUAUAUAUAUAUAUAUAAUUUUUUAAAGUAUAGAAAUCAAAAUAUAUCAAUAUUUUAAUAAAUUCUACUGUGAUUUUAAAGUUUUGGAACUAAAGUAUAUUUAAUUUCUUUUUUUAUGUUAACACUUGUGAUAUGUAUAUUAGUGAAGAUGUUGCUGAUUUUAUCCUAUUCUUCACCGUUCCAGACACACUCAGAAGUCACAAGUGGUUGAUUUAACAAGUGAAAGACUGAAUGUUUGCUUAACUUGUGUGUCUACAUGUAUAUAUAUAUAUAUAUAUAUAUAUAUAUAUAUAAGUGGCAACAUGCAUUAAUAUAGGGUUUUGCAAUUGCGGCUACCAGCUCCAUAAUCGCAAUGGAUAAUCCUUCACCUGUUACUGCUCUCUUUAAUCCUUGGUCUUUUUUUUCUCCCACUUAUAUGUAUGGUGCUUCACACGCCAUGACUGGGACUUCCCAGCCACAUGUCUACAUUUUAAACGCCACUUCUACUUUCUUCCUUCAUACCCCUAAACCUCUAACACACAAUUGCAAAGUACGUGUGAUGUUAACAGGAGAUGGCCAUGGGAAGAAGGAGCAAUAGUGGUUGAUUGGUCCAAAGAUCUCAUGUUUGAUUUUUUUUGGAGCUUUUCAGUAUUUGAAUCAUCGCUUUUUGGCUUUGCUACCUUUCUUUUUUCUUCUUUUUGUUUCUGUGGUUUGGUCAUUGUUCUUCGCCUUUAUUAUAUUAUUAGGUCAUCCCACUUGAUGUAUCAUAUACCAUCCAUGCCUCGAUAAAACUUUCAUUUUCUUUAACAUAUUAUUUGAAUGAUUCGCCAUAUCCAACCUAUCAUUUUUCAUUCUUUCUUUCAAAUCAUCAAGACUCGACCAAGAAAAAAUGUACAAAGAUUCUCAUCACACUCAUUUGCAUUUUCUUUAUUCAGAAAUUAUUCACCAACUAAUAAUACAUAGCUAAUAUAUAUAUAUACACUCGCCUAAGUAACUUACCUACUACCUAAGUUAUCUAUAAAUUAAUCCAUAAAUAAGUAUGAAAAAGUUAUAAAACAUUUUACAUAUAUGAUUAUAACUCGUCAUACAAAAAUAUACUGAUAUCAUCCUGAAUCUCCUGAUAUAUUGUUUUUGUAUUUACUAUUAAAGGGAAAGAAAUAUAACAUGUCCAAUUGACCACCUUGUCCAAAAUUAUAUUAGAACUAAGAUAUAAAAAGUCGUAAAUAAUGAACCUAGUCUUUAAUACAUUUGCCAACAUAUAUCGUUCACAAGCUAUUAAGAAAAACUUAUAUUUUAUAAAAACGAAGAAUUAUCACUAUAUACAUCUUAGUCUUCAUAGCUUAUAAAUUGUUUUUUUUUUCUUCAUUAAUAUCGCCAUAUUAACAGAAUAAAUCAAAUCUCUAACAAGCAUGUAAUAUUUAUAUACAACUUUUCUAUGAUAUUACAAAAAUAUCUCAUUAAGUUUUUUUUUUUGACAGAUAAGUUAAAUCUGGUUAAAAUUGCCUUGUAUAUUUUAAUUAUUUAUAUUAAUAAAUGAAAUUUAAUUAAAAAAAAAAAAAAGAAUCUCAAUAUAAGAAAACGUAAUAUUGAAAGAAUAUUUUGAAGUUAUGAUAAUAAAAUUUAUCAUUUUAUGGGUUUGGAGGUUGUGUUUUACUAGAUGAAACAUAUAAUUAUUACAUUAUACCACUAAUCACAUAUUUUAUUCCGUGACAUUUAUCCAAAUGAAAAUUUAACAAAUUUAUUGUAUAUGAGUUUAUGUAAGUUGACAUGUUCUUUAACUUUAAUAGAUGACAUGGACUACACGUAAUGAUGGAGUUAAUAUAAAUGCAAGUAGUAAGAUCGUAAUCUCGUUCUCAGAUUCCAAUAGCAACCAAUCUACUUCGUAAGAACAUCUCUUUCAACAAAGAUGCUAAAAUCAAAUCUUCUUGUCACCAUGCUUUGAUAAGAAUUACGUGGGAGAGGUUCUUGGAAACCACUUUAUGUUUUUCUUACAAAGAUCCGUACGCUGUCGAUUUUUGAUUUGUUUUUAAGAAAAAAAAAACUAUUGCAUUUCACUAUUUUAAUGUAAAAGUGUAAAAUGUAUAGGUUUAAUUCCACUUCUAUUGUGUCUUCUGCAUAUGUUCAUCCAUUUACAAUCAAAUUAAUUAUCUUUUUUUUUCAUCCAGUAAUAUACAAGCUAUGUACGUAUAUUUUUGUUUCUCUCCGAGUAUUCUUCCAAUGAAGUCCACUUUUUUCUUGAAAAUAUUAAGCUACAAGUUUGGCUUCUAUUCAUUCUGCAGAUUCACUUUGCUACCGAGCUUAAGUUGAUUUUCUAGUGUUUUUUUU
rnacentral:lncRNA from 1 species